UGGGCUCUCUACAAGGAAGCUGUUGUCUAUGAGGGAGGCAGUCAGCAGUUCCUGCGUGGCUCCUGUCUGAGGUUCCUGCCAUGGCUUCCCCCAGUGAUGAGCUGGAAGGCUGUUAAGCAGGGUACGCGCAUGGAGUCCUACUGCCCUGCUCUAGUCUUGCUUCUGAACUUCCAGCACACACGUCAAUGUCAACUACGUUGAUGGGUAACUGACCUCGAGUUCUCGCCUCUUCGUGUAUUAAGGUUCAUGCCCAAGGUGCCACAGAAGCGAUGGGAAGGACGUCUGUGGGGAGCUUCUCUGUCCUUCUUCAUCUGCACAGCAGAGCUCUUUGGUGACAGUUAUCCUCAGAGGCCCUGGGUACAGACUUUAAUUGGUGGGCUCUCAGGACAGCAGCUUUCUGCUUGGAUUUUUAGUGUAUUUAGCAUGGAUCAGACUUACGGAGAAAGAGCCCAGAGUGUCCUUGGCAAUUGUCAGGGGAGGUGGACAGUGAGGUCACUCAGAAAUUUUCUUUAACAAGGUGGGAGAGAUGAUUUGGAAUAUGUCACCCUGAUGAUCCAGAAAGCAGAAAAGAAGGCUGUCAGGCAGAGCCCCUCUUGGCCUGGGGUGAGGAACAGGUGCGGAACACAUUUCAGCCUGGGGCCAGCUGCACCUGCUAUAUUUGGGGUCAGUCUCCUCCAGGCGAUGCCUCUGCAGGAUUCGCCAAGGGAAUCCCUGGAAAUAUCCAGCCACUUCCUCUCCCAGAUGGUAGCCAGUGGCUUGGGCUCUGACAGCAUUUGUGUUUGGAUUCAGGCUAGAUCUUGACCUACCUACACGGCUGUGAGAAUCCACCAUUGUAUCUCAGGAAUGAAA
rnacentral:lncRNA from 1 species